rnacentral:pre_miRNA from 1 species
UCAAUACUCCCUCCGUUUCAUAUUAAGUGAUUCAAAUUUGUCUAAGAAUGGACGUGUUUAUAUACUAAAAUACGUCUAGAUACAUGUAAUGUUUCGUCACUUAAUAUGUGACGGAGGGAGUAUCAA